ACGAACGCUGGCGGCAGGCUUAACACAUGCAAGUCGAACGAUGUAGCAAUACAUAGUGGCGCACGGGUGAGUAACGCGUGGGAACGUGCCUUUUGGUUUGGAAUAACGUCGGGAAACUGACGCUAAUACCAAAUACGCCCUCCGGGGGAAAGAUUUAUCGCCAAAAGAUCGGCCCGCGUUAGAUUAGGUAGUUGGUGGGGUAAUGGCCUACCAAGCCUACGAUCUAUAGCUGGUCUGAGAGGAUGACCAGCCACACUGGAACUGAGACACGGUCCAGACUCCUACGGGAGGCAGCAGUGGGGAAUAUUGGACAAUGGGGGAAACCCUGAUCCAGCCAUGCCGCGUGAAUGAUGAAGGCCUUAGGGUUGUAAAGUUCUUUUGUCAGGGAAGAUGAUGACGGUACCUGAAGAAUAAGCACCGGCUAACUUCGU
rnacentral:rRNA from 1 species